AUUGAACGCUGGCGGCAGGCCUAACACAUGCCAGUCGAGCGGAUGAAGGGAGCUUGCUCCUGGAUUCAGCGGCGGACGGGUGAGUAAUGCCUAGGAAUCUGCCUGGUAGUGGGGGAUAACGUCCGGAAACGGGCGCUAAUACCGCAUACGUCCUGAGGGAGAAAGUGGGGGAUCUUCGGACCUCACGCUAUCAGAUGAGCCUAGGUCGGAUUAGCUAGUUGGUGGGGUAAAGGCCUACCAAGGCGACGAUCCGUAACUGGUCUGAGAGGAUGAUCAGUCACACUGGAACUGAGACACGGUCCAGACUCCUACGGGAGGCAGCAGUGGGGAAUAUUGGACAAUGGGCGAAAGCCUGAUCCAGCCAUGCCGCGUGUGUGAAGAAGGUCUUCGGAUUGUAAAGCACUUUAAGUUGGGAGGAAGGGCAGUAAGUUAAUACCUUGCUGUUUUGACGUUACCAACAGAGUAAGCACCGGCUAACUUCGUG
rnacentral:rRNA from 1 species